CCUACGGGCGGCAGCAGUGGGGGAUAUUGCACAAUGGGGGGAACCCUGAUGCAGCGACGCCGCGUGGGUGAAGGAGCGUUUCGGCGCGUAAAGCCCUAUCGGCGGGGAAGAAGAUGACGGUACCUGGCCAAGAAGCCCCGGCUAACUACGUGCCAGCAGCCGCGGUCAUACGUAGGGGGCAAGCGUUAUCCGGAUUUACUGGGUGUAAAGGGGGCGCAGACGGCAAUGCAAGCCAGGAGUGAAAGCCCGGGGCCCAACCCAGGGACUGCUCUUGGAACUGCAUGGCUGGAGUACGGGAGGGGCAGGCGGAAUUCCUAGUGUAGCGGUGAAAUGCGUAGAUAUUAGGAGGAACACUGGUGGCGAAGGCGGCCUGCUGGACUGUGACUGACGUUGAGGCCCGAAGGCGUGGGGAGCAAACAGGAUUAGAUACCCCGGUAGUC
rnacentral:rRNA from 1 species